GAUGAACGCUAGCGGCAGGCUUAACACAUGCAAGUCGAGGGGCAGCAUAAACAUUGCUUGCAAUGUUUGAUGGCGACCGGCGCACGGGUGCGUAACGCGUAUGUAACCUACCUCUAACAGGGGGAUAACACUGAGAAAUUGGUACUAAUACCCCAUAACACUUGAUAGGGCAUCCUAUUGAGUUGAAAGUUCCGGCGGUUAGAGAUGGACAUGCGUUGUAUUAGCUAGAUGGUGAGGUAACGGCUCACCAUGGCGACGAUACAUAGGGGGACUGAGAGGUUAACCCCCCACACUGGUACUGAGACACGGACCAAACUCCUACGGAGCAGCAGUGAGGAAUAUUGGUCAAUGGGCGAGAGCCUGACAG
rnacentral:rRNA from 1 species